UGGUUCUGGCAUCGAUGAAGAACGCAGCGAAAUGCGAUAAGUAAUGUGAAUUGCAGAAUUCAGUGAAUCAUCGAAUCUUUGAACGCACAUUGCGCCCUUUGGUAUUCCGAAGGGCAUGCCUAUUCGAGCGUCAUUAUCACCCCUCAAGCCCGGCUUGGCCUUGGGCCCGCGUCGUCCCGCGACCGGCCCGAAAGAUAAUGGCGGUGUCGAACGGACCCUCCGGUGCAGCGAGCUUCGGCACGCACCUGUGAAGGCCGUCGGCCCCGGUCGUAUCCUCUUCAAAGGUUGACCUCGGAUUAGGUAGGAAUACCCGCUGA
rnacentral:misc_RNA from 1 species